UACGUAGGGGGCAAGCGUUGUCCGGAAUUAUUGGGCGUAAAGAGCUCGUAGGCGGUCUGUCGCGUCUGCUGUGAAAACUCAAGGCUUAACCCUGAGCUUGCAGUGGGUACGGGCAGACUAGAGUGCGGUAGGGGAGACUGGAAUUCCUGGUGUAGCGGUGAAAUGCGCAGAUAUCAGGAGGAACACCGGUGGCGAAGGCGGGUCUCUGGGCCGUAACUGACGCUGAGGAGCGAAAGCAUGGGGAGCGAACAGG
rnacentral:rRNA from 1 species